UUGAUAAAUCUACCUGCAUGAGUGACAGAUCUAUAUUCCAUCAAUGGUGCCCAGAGCAGAUCCUAAAAGAGACCGACCAUGAAUGACAGAUCUACAUCCCACCAAUGGAGCCCAGACCAAAUUCUAAAAGAGAUCGACCAUAAAUGACAGGUCUACAUCCCACCAAUGGAGCCCAGACCAGAUCCUAAAAGAGAUCGACCAUAAAUGACAGAUCUACAUCCCACCAAUGGAGCCCAGACCAGAUCCUAAAAGAGAUCGACCAUAAAUGACAGAUCUACAUCCCAUUAGUGGAGCCCAGACCAGAUACCAGCAGAGACCGAUCAUAAAUGACAGAUCUACAACCCACCAAUGGAGCCCAAACCAGAUCCCAGCAGAGACCGACCAUGAAUGACAGAUCUACAUCCCACUAAUGGAGCCCAGACCAGAUCCCAGCAGAGACCGACCAUGAAUGACAGAUCUACAUCCCACUAAUGGAGCCCAGACCAGAUCCCAGCAGAGACCAACCAUGAAUGACAGAUCUACAUCUCACCAAUGGAGCCCAGACCAGAUCCCAGCAGAGACCAACCAUAAAUGACAGAUCUAUAUCCUACUAAUGGAGCCCAGACCAGAUCCUAAAAGAGACCGAACAUAAAUGACAGAUCUACAUCCCACCAAUGGAGCCCAGACCAGACCCCAGCAGAGACCGACCAUAAAUGACAGAUCUACAUCCCACCAAUGGAGCCCAGACCAGAUCCUAAAAGAGACUGACCAUAAAUGACAGAUCUACCUCCCACCAAUGGAGUCCAGACCAGAUCCUAAAAGAGACCAACCAUGAAUGACAGAUCUACAUCCCACCAAUGGAGCCCAGACUAAAUCCCAACAGAGACCGACCAUAAAUUACAGAUCUACAUUCCAUCAGUGGAGUCCAGACCAGAUCCCUGCAGAGACUGACCAUGAGUGACAGAUCUACAUCCCAUUAGUGGAGCCCAGACCAGAUACCAGCAGAGACCAACCAGAUCUAUAUCUCACCAAUGCAGCUCAGGAGAGACCGACCAUAAAUGACAGAUCUACAUUCCAUCAAUGGAGCCCAGACCAGAUCCCAUGAGUGACCAACCUUUUAUGAUAGAUCUACACCCCAUGAGUGGAGCCCAAACCAGAUCCCAGCAGAGCCUGACCAUAAGUGACAGAUCUACAUCCCAUCAAUGGAGCCCAGGAGAGACUGACUAUAAGUGACAGAUCUACAUGAUAUCAAGGGAGCCCGGAUGAGAUCACAGUCCAUAUAAUUCUGUGACCACCUCUAGUGUUCGCGUGUGAUCAGUAGUAAAUGGAUGGACCCUCACCUGUCCAUUCACUAACCCUCUAUACUUUCUGGGCACUGCUGGUUCCCCUCUCCAAAUGACUGUACCCCCUGCCCCCUAUAUCUUAUCAUCCCUGGGGCCUUUUACCCCUGUGUGCCUUCUAGAUCCCUCUGUUUUCUUCAGCUACUUCAGUCCUCUUAUUCAGUCCUAUACCCCUCUGUACCCUCCAGACACCUCCAGAUCUCCUUUUCUUGAACCCAUUAAAUGGAGUCUUUAGUACUGCUUAAGUGGAGAACAGAACACCAGGAUGAGGUUAAGGGAUCUCUAUAAAGAGUGGAUCUCCUAUACUAGAUCAAGGAAUAUCACACCUGGAACAUUGAGGUCAAGGAAAGGAGAUCUAAAUGAGAUCUUCGCCACUGGAUCAGAAGAGGCAGAGCCCCAGGAGUGGAUUGAGAAAUCUCUGUCCCUAAGGAGUAGAUCACUUGCAUUGGAUCUGAGAAGAGAUCUUGGACCAGAAGAUUCCACACAGACUAUAAAUGUAGAUGGGGAGAUCAGACUGUCCUCAGGGUAGAGUCCACCCUCGUAGAAGAUGUCCUUGGAUGUUGUCCUGUAGAUGGGGAUUACCUUGCAGGGUUCAGGACCUCAGGGUAGACGUAGGCUCGUGAUGUUCAGCUCUGCUGCAUCCACCAUUUAUAGGGAUCGGCUGAUUUCUGGGCUCACGUUGUGUUUCUCUGUCCUGGGUCCAGGCGUUAAUCCACGUACACAAGGGAAGUGUGCACUCAGCACAGGCCGGGGGGCACAACUGAGUGCAGGAGAAGACAUGUAUACAAUAUAGUGAACACUCUACAGCUCUGCUAGAUCAGCACCUACUAUUAUUUACCCGGGCAAAUUGCUCAUUCUCUUAACCCUUUCUGAACCAGACUUUCGAGGGAUUCAAUAAAUAAGAGGAAAAAUCUAUUGACAACUCCUAUAUGAGUGAGGCUGUGCAUAGAGUAUACAAGAAUGUCUAUAGAAUGGGACUAUAUAUCAGGACGUGCAGUGAAACCUCAUUGAGAUGACCACAAAAAUUCACACAAAAAGGCUCCUAUAUGAUCUGGGUUUUAGGAUUACAGCUGUGAAUAACGGGACUUGUCCCAAGGCUGAGACGCUGCAGGUUCACCACAUCUUAAAGGGACCAUAGAACUAAAGGCCACCACCUUAUGAUCUACAUGUAGCACCUAUAAUAUCUAACCUGAAGAAGAACUUUCUUUGAGGACCUUUAGGUCUUUCUGAAGAGAAGUAUCGGUACUAAAGCUGAUGUGUAUGGGUACAGAAGAAGUAGGAUACCUGCUGGUCAUAAAAAUCCACCGGUAUGAGGGGUGCACCAUGAUUUAUUGAUAUUGUACAGCACAACCAGUAUAAUCAAAUACUUGCAAAUGUAUGUAGUCAUGUAGCAUUGUAUCUCCUUGUUCCCUAAACCUUUUUAUGAAGACUUUACAGCAGCUGCCUGACGGUAGUAUUCAUUCAUGUAUGUUACAUCUAGGUUAGCA